AUUUUAAACUCGUAUCCUCAGAGACACGUGAUCAGAGGCUGGAAUUUUGAAUUACGUAAUCGCGCUACGCUACGUUUACAAUUGGUAGUUAAAACAUGAAUAAAAUGAAUCAAUGAUGACAAAUAAAUUCUGAUACAUGUGAUACGUGCAACCAAGAAGUCAGCUACUUGAGGAAACUGUACCGAACAAAGGGAAAUCGAGGAUUUAAAACAUUCCGAUACGAUAGUAAAACCAAUUCUGUUUAUUUG
rnacentral:lncRNA from 1 species